GACGUAGGGGGCCAGCGUUGCUCGGAAUUACUGGGUGUAAAGGGUUCGUAGGCGGUGUGGCAAGUCGGGAGUGAAAUCUCUGGGCUCAACCCAGAGUCUGCUUCCGAAACUGCUGUGCUUGAGUGUGGGAGAGGCGCGUGGAAUUGCAGGUGUAGCGGUGAAAUGCGUAGAUAUCAGGAGGAACACCUGUGGCGAAAGCGGCUCACUGGACCACAACUGACGCUGAUGCGCGAAAGCUAGGGGAGCAAACAGG
rnacentral:rRNA from 1 species